ensembl:lncRNA
GGAGCAUUAGCAACUGCAGUCAAAAAGCACCCUUGCUUCUUCAGCUCUGAUUCUAGCAGCAACUGUCUGAUUCUGUCUGGAGGAACUGGGAGACAGCACUGGAGUCCCAUCAGUAGUGUACGUUCUUGAGAACUGUCUGGCCGGGAAGGAAGGAGCACACUGCUGAAGACUCUCAGGAUCAGCUGUUUGUGUUUAGAGAGAAGAAUGAUGUUCAAACUGCCUGUUCCUGUUCACUGUAGAGCCCACAUGAGCUAAAAGGAGAUGUGACAGUUGCAAACUCUUGGUCAGAGUUUCAACACAAACAACCUGGAGAGCAGGAAUAAGAGCAUAGAAAAUCUGAAACAAAUUCCAAUGGGAAGAUUAGAAAUAAUUUUUCACCAUUAAUCGAACAAAUGAGAUCACAGAAAAGCUGAGCAUCAGGACUCUGUGUACUGCUUUCUCUGUUCAUCUUGAAUUGCUGAAUGUCUCUCUGAGAUCUUGGGGGUAAUCAGAGCAAAAUCCAUGUUGAGGAAUAUUCUGUAAAUGCGUUAUAUGUUCAGCACUAGUGUAUGUUGUGUUACUGGACUUACUGCAGGAGUGGAAAUAAAGCUCAGAAAGGAUUUUUCUGGUGACUGUGAAGUUCUGGUGAGAAUGAACAGGGCACUGAGGAGUUACAGAGAAGGUUUUCAAAGGUCUUCACUAGACUGUAAUGACUGAGUAUUCUCAAGAUCAGUAGGUUUUAAAUAUGCAAACAGAUCUCAAACCGUCAGGUAAUAAUAAGCUCCCAACAAUAAAUGUAAAAACCAAGAUAGAGUUUGUCAUAUUUAUUUGCAGGUAACAGGUAUGAUGUCUGGCCUCUCCUUUUGCUGCAGAUUUCUGUAGGUUGAGUAGGUUACAGCGGUGUACAUUCUACUUGUAAAAAAAAAAAAAAAGUAGUACACAUCCCUUUGUGCCUCAGUCCUACUAGUAUUCAUAAACCCACUGCUUUCCAAAGAAACCAAUGUCUGAAACAGAUCCAACUGAUUGUUCAGCAGGUAGCAAUGCAAUAUCAUAUUUUGACUUCUGUAUACAAAGGGAAAAGUAAUUAUUUGAAGAGCUUGGUUGGCAAGUUUUCCCUUCGUGAUCCUGUUCCCUACAAUAAAAUGCCUUUGUGGAAAAUUCUGUUCAUAUUCCUAAGGAAGGCAUUAGCCCUGAUUGUUACAGCGGCAUAGAAGGAAAUUGUAUUAGUUCCUUAGAUACCAGCAAAAUUUAUCCUUUCCACAAUCAUUGCCUUCUAAAGCCUAAUUACAUCUUUGGCAAAGAUGACUUCCUCUUAGCUCUUGAACUUUCUUUAGUUCAUGUAGAUUAAAAUACCACUUGAUUUAUGAAAUAAUCCCCAUUCUUCCAUUCUUUCUUACUCCUGUCAAUAUCUGUAAGUUCUGAGCAAAAUUAUUUUCUAAUUAUUUUCCAGGUCACCAUUAAAAACAGUAGUUAUUCCAUUGAACAUCCUGGCAAUCCUCUAUGCUCUUAAGUACAGACAGACCUGAAUAUAUGCAAUGAUUUGUCAGCUUUUCAGUCUGUGCCCUGACCUUUAUUAUAUCAGUACAGGUGGACUGUGACAGUCCAGCAAAGAUGGCCUCACUGAAAGAUUUCUUUUCAUCUAUUCACAUUUUAAGCCACAGAUAUCUCUGGUCUAUUGAGCAGCCUAUUUCUGUCCUGAUUUACACAUUUCCUAAUCCCUGACAGCACUUUCUUCUCUGCUGUGGUAACUCAGCCACAGUUAUUGUCUGUUUGUUUCUAAAAGGUUGUCUCUAUGCUCUAGACAAGUUUUCUCAAAUCUGAUAUUUUACAGCAGAACCUGCCCUUUUUUCCCCCUGCCCCACUGUACUUCUUUAUAUCAACACCCUUUCACUACAAAAAAAAGAUCUCAGGUUACGAGGUGGACAGGCUUUGGUUCUCUCUCUUGGAAGGCAGAGACAUUCCUUUUGUUUGAUUCUGUCCAGUUUAUUUGAAACAUGUUGUUCAACCCAUUCUAAUGUCUGCUUGAGGUCUCUGGGCAGGUUUGUCAUCUCCAGCCUGCUGUUGUACUAGCCUGUCUGCUGACUCCAUUCCAUCCCGCUGACUUGAUUUCUUUCUUUCCAUCUACAGCUACAGUCAAAGAGCAGUGAUUAAUAAGUUUCAACAUGCUAACACAUGAUUAUAAGGUAUUUUAUUUAACUUUAUUUAUUUCGUUUCAUUUUUAUUUUAUUAUGUUUUUACCAGAUACCCAAAUAUUUCAUACAUAUACUCCAGGCUCCAAGUGUGAAACUUGAAAAACAAAUAGCUUUAAAUGAUGAAAAGCCUGGGAGAGGUUCACAUUGCUAAUUAACUACCAUGUUACUUUUCUGCAAUGAAAAUGGAAGUGUGAAAGUUAUCAGUCUGAACAAAUAAAAACAAUAGUUAAUC